CACAAUGUAUAACAAAAUAUCCCAGCUUAAGAAAAAUUCAAAGGAGAGGGUUGAAAUUGAUGACCUGAUCAUUCUCACCCAGCUGAUCACUGACUUUCUAUGAAAUACUUUUUAAAAAUCAAUCUUUUAUUAUUAUCCAGUUUGAAGGUGUGCCAACAUUGGGGUUCACCACCGCAUCCCGCGUGAAUUUGUCUACCCUUUUCAACAAGCAGUUGGUGACCAAACAGCAGUAAAGUUAGACGGUUGGCUGACUGCAAUUUCAUGAUGGAGAAUGCCACUAUGUCUUCAACAGUAUAUCUAACAGGGACUACAAAGUCAGAUCGGUGUGAAUGCCUAGUCGCCCCUAUGGCUGUCGAUGUGGAUCAAUUAUUAGAAAUAAACACUGUUGAUCAAUUACAGUGAAGAAGCGAAACAAUGAGACCUUUCAUCUCCAUGGGAAUUGAACUAACCACCGACCUUGUAAGUCUGUUCUAUGGAACACGAGCUGCGGACAUCGAGAAACUAAGUAUGUAGGUAGAGAACCCGUUGGCUUUUGUCAAACUUGCUGGUCUAGAAGGAAACGUACCUCACUUGGAACACAUCUUUGUCUACAACCUCCAGCAAUAACAUUUCAACUUGGAAAGACUCGACGGCAUGAGCGAACUGAGCGUUUGUCAUCUAAUCACGGAUAGCUGUGAUGUUGAUUUUUUAAAACCAAAACUUUGUCGUUGGUUGAUCCCUUAUUUACGUCGACUGGAUACCCUUACAGCCUGAUAGUAUCAAGGAGUUAUUACGAGGCUUACUUACGUAUCAGGCUAGCCCGAUUGUCGUCGACGCAAACUUUCCAAGCCCUGGAAUGCAUAUGCCUGCCAGAAGAACGACCAACUUGUAGUGGACAUGACAUUUUUCGAUUGCUAGCCUGAGCGACCACCUGGCUCCAAAGCAGAUUCCCUACUUACCCAUUUACACCAUCAGUUGGAUUAUCUCCAAUCUCAUUUAGAGGCAGCUAAUGUUUUAUUGUUGUCUACGGCCGAGUUGCACCAAAUUGGCAACGCCAACGCCACUCAUCUUCCACCAAAGAACGUUUGGCGUUUUCUGCUGUCUGCACUCUGCUGUUCAUUUGCAAAUUUUCUCACAGGACUUCGAAAGGUGUAAUGAGAAUUUGCAGUUCGUCGCGUCAAACUUUGAAGAAAAUUUAUUGAAAUUGUAGAUUUAAUUUAUAGAUCUAGAAAAGUGGGAAGGACAUUCCAUUACCAGCACGUGAUCGAUUCUGGUCGACGGUUCGCCAGAUCUCCGUGGAUUACAACAAGUGGUUCCUAUUAAUGUCUUACCUCGGUAUUGUGAUGAAGUGAGAAUUGAUGGCAAUUGAAGUAAACCUUAUCUACUUACCUGUGUGGGAAGACUAUCAAACAGCAGGUGGUUGGUGUUUGUUGGAGCAGUCUCUGGUAAAGCAAUCUAAUGUGCUUGCUGUUCUCAGCUUUUCAUGGUGCUGACAUUUUGGCAUGGUUUCACUUGAUUUGUGUCUGCUCAGUGUUUGCGUGUAUUUUAUUGAUAAGUAUUUUUGGGUUGAUAUUCAGAGAUAACCAAAAAUGUUGAGAACAUAGAAGACCAUGUCCUUCCAAAGAAAUCUGUCAUUCUGUCCUCCAACCCACUAAAUGUGGUAUGGUAUCAUUUCAGAUUUGUUAAGUUAGCAUUCCCUUCUUGCAUCCUAAGAAAGGUUACCAUUUUAUUGUAACAUAGGCAUGUUUUAUUUUACCUAACUUCCGUUCUUGCCUCUUGGAAUGUGUUCAGGCAUGUUUAUUGUUCAUAUUGUUAGUGAUUUAUUUCUUACAUUCAUAGCAUUUUCCACUUCGGAAUGAAAGCAUGCAACCAAUUUUCAGCUCCAGACAGGUAUGCCCUCUGGGUAUGCCUUGCAUAAUGUAGCGCUUAUGUCCUCCGGCCGCCAGGUGGCGCGAGCGUCGCGUCAAAACUCAGACAUUUUCACAUUUUCCAGCCACCGACUGAAAAUGUCUUCCAAAUUCAUCAUGGUCAUAAAAACUAAUUGGCAAUGCGUAAUCCAUCCUCCUGUAAUUUCCUUUUGGCGAAAUAAUCUGAUCACGUGGGCCAAAACUGCUGUCCAUUUUGCCGAAUGUCGUCUAGGCGUCUAUUAUUACCUGUACCUGCUGUACGAGUUUGCUGUACGUCUCGUCCCGUGAAGAAGCACUUCAGACCAAUUUAAGGAUCAGACUGCUUUGCUGAUAUAUUGCAGAAAUUGAGAACUCAGCCAAGUCGGAGCUACAUUGCUGUCGUGGGACCACAUGCUACUAAAUUAGUUAAAGAUUUAAUAAAAAAAAAGUACUUGACUUGAAAUUGUGUCUCAUGUUGCCGAAAAUAUGUCUUCUCCUGCUUGCUCUACAUAGCAUCCUAUGAACAGAUAACAGCAUAGUGGACAAGGUUUCGAUAGCCAUUUGACGUUGACGGUGUCAAUGGAGAUGCUGAAUUUCAUAAUUCAACUCUGCCAAACAAUUUUUCACAUGGCCUGAAUCUGAAGAUUAAUUUAAUUUGAUUUUGUUUCUAGAUUAUGCUCCCAUAGCUGCUGUCUAAUUUGAUAUGUUGUUGCAGCCUGCUGGUAAAAGACUUUUUGCAUAAAUUGAACUGUGACUGUACCUUGAUGAUGGUUUCAUGUUGCGGAAGUUUCAAACAGUAUGUUAAAUUGUCAUUUUGCCAAAUAGUAAACAAAUCAAAGAUUGGGAAAGCAACGAGGAGGUGGGAGGGAGACUUAAAUAUUUAAAAGAAAUGUUGAAGUGUUUUGUCGAAGAAAUUGAUUCGGUAAUUAUAAAUAUCUUCAACUUUA